rnacentral:rRNA from 1 species
GAUGAACGCUAGCGGCAGGCUUAACACAUGCAAGUCGAGCGGUCCCGCAAGGGGCAGCGGCAGACGGGUGAGUAACGCGUGGGAAACUACCCCGAGGUACGGAACAACUCGGCGAAAGCUGAGCUGAUACCGUAUGUGACCGAGAGGUGAAAGAUUUAUCGCCUCGGGAUGUGCCCGCAUCGGAUUAGCUAGUUGGUGGGGUAACGGCCCACCAAGGCGACGAUCCGUAGCUGGUCUGAGAGGAUGAUCAGCCACACUGGGACUGAGACACGGCCCAGACUCCUACGGGAGGCAGCAGUGGGGAAUAUUGGACAAUGGGGGCAACCCUGAUCCAGCCAUGCCGCGUGAGUGAUGAAGGCCUUAGGGUUGUAAAGCUCUUUCGCCCGCGAAGAUAAUGACGGUAGCGGGAGAAGAAGCACCGGCUAACUCUGUGCCAGCCGCCGCGGUAA